GUAGGGUGCGAGCGUUAAUCGGAAUUACUGGGGCGUAAAGCGUGCGCAGGCGGCUUUGCAAGACAGAUGUGAAAUCCCCCGGGGCUCAACCUGGGGAACUGCAUUUGUGACUGCAGGGCUAGAGUACGGCAGAGGGGAUGGAAUUCCGCGUGUAGCAGUGAAAUGCGUAGAUAUGCGGAGGAACACCGAUGGCGAAGGCAAUCCCCUGGGCCUGUACUGACGCUCAUGCACGAAAGCGUGGGGAGCAAACAGGAUUAGAUACCCUGGUAGUCCACGCCCUAAACGAUGUCAACUGGUUGUUGGACGGCUUGCUGUUCAGUAACGAAGCUAACGCGUGAAGUUGACCGCCUGGGGAGUACGGCCGCAAAGGUUG
rnacentral:rRNA from 1 species